rnacentral:rRNA from 1 species
GUAGGGAAUAUUGGACAAUGGGGGCAACCCUGAUCCAGCCAUGCCGCGUGAGUGAAGAAGGCCCUCGGGUUGUAAAGCUCUUUUGUCCGGAAAGAAAAGCAUUCGGUGAAUACCCGGAUGUUCUGACGGUACCGGAAGAAUAAGCACCGGCUAACUUCGUGCCAGCAGCCGCGGUAAUACGAAGGGUGCAAGCGUUACUCGGAAUUACUGGGCGUAAAGCGUGCGUAGGUGGUUGUUUAAGUCUGAUGUGAAAGCCCUGGGCUCAACCUGUGAAUGGCAUUGGAAACUGGGCAGCUAGAGUGCGGUAGAGGGUAGUGGAAUUCCCGGUGUAGCAGUGAAAUUCGUAGCGAUCGGGAGGAACAUCUGUGGCGAAGGCGACUGCCUGGACCAGCACUGACACUGAGGCACGAAAGCGUG